GAAGGUCGCACAGGUUUCUAAACUCGGACAGGGGGGACAAGAAAUUGAAAGCCUGGAUUGGGGGAGGCGGCUGGCACAGCCAGACUGUGAAUGGACAGGAGAUGGAAGAGGGAAGUGACGGGUUAGGAAAUGAUGGGAUGGAGUUAGGUGGGGGGAGAAAUGAAAGUUGGAAUGUUGUGUAAGGGGGAAAGGCUAAUCGCAAACGCAAGAAUAAUAGGGGACAGAGAGGAUUGGGCACAGCGUCUGAGGAAACAGAUAGCGAGCAAGCAAGAGAGGACGAGGAAGAGCACAAAGUAAUCAUUAGGUUGGAGCAAGAAGGCGCCUCGUUUGGAGAGUGGAAUCCUGUACACCUUACUAAAGCAAUAAAUAAACAAGUGGGCGAUGUGAAAAGUGCGAGUGUUGUGCAAUGGAGCACUGCUGAUUUUUUGUAGAGAUAGCGCGCAGUUGGGGAGAGUCAUCAGGGUGGAUAAAAUUGAGGGGAAGAAGGUGGUAGUGUAGCGAUUUGAAAUGAGCCUCACAAGGCCGCACCAAAAUAAUACUGUAGCGAUUGGAAUUUAUAAUAAAUGUCUGAAGAUUAAUAAUCUCAAAUUAUGACAUUUAUGCACUCGUAUCUGGUAUACUCGUAUACUCGUAUACAUGCAAUAAAUGAUGAUAAGAUAAUGAAGAUAAAUAAUAAUAGGUGAAUAAAUAAAGAUUCUGAGUCAGGCUAGGAGCACUAAAGUUAAUGAUAGUGAGUGAAUAUGCGCUAACAUAUUAACCUACACUAAAUUUGGUGUCGAGAUAAACUCGGUUGUGGAUUUGGAGGAAUCUAAGAUUACCAGAAUAAGAGGAUAUCUGAGUUAUGAACGCACGAGACAGCAUCAGCCCUCUUUAGAGCUCUGGAGGUUUGCAUACUUAAGUGAGACUGGUCCUUGGAGAAGAUGGAGCAGGUUCCGAAGGUCCGGGGCUACUGGCGGUUCGAGCGGUUCAGCUCAGAAGAUGACUGAAGUCAGCAGAAGGAUGAGCCAGGAGUUGCAGCACUCGGGCCCGAAGCAAAGCCAGCGCCUAUGGAUCCUGUGGAUGCUCGUUUGGGUACUUCUUUGGUCUCACUCAAAAACUCUGGCACAGAGGAUGACCUGGGCCUGCUGGGUUGCGUUCAGAGGUGACUUUGAAAAUCACGCAGAUAACUCAGAAAAACGAGACUCGAGCAGAGAAAACUUUCAAAAAUGGCUUCGCGAAAUUAAAGAAAAAUCAAUCAAAGGCUUAAUCUUGAAUUGCUAUGCGCACAAAAAGUUGAAGUUUCAAAACUUGAACUAAGACGAUGUUAAAGAAAAAUCAACGUGAAUCAACACGUGGCGUAAAACUUAGAAGACUAAGAAAAAGUUCUAAGAGAGAACAAAGAAGAAGAGGACCACAGAAGGGUGUGGACAGAAGAGAAGGGCCCAAGAGUAAGGGGCCUAAAGCCGCGUUCAGACCAAACGCGACCAGGUCGCGUCGCGUCGCGUUGGUCGGUCAGGUCACGUCGCGUGGUGCCCUGGUGUGUCAACACCGGGUCCAAAGCUGCAGUCGCGGAGGUCGCGGCUGGUCGCCGAUGACGUCAUCACGUUAACGUCAGUAGCUCAGUUUUCAGUGCGACCAGUGUUGAAGAUGGACGACAUCGUGACCUGUGCUGCCGCAUACCUUCAUGUCCGACAUAGACGCCGCCGGCCUGUAUGGGUGCAUGAAACCAUCCGGAGGAGGACGGAGCUGGGUGAAUAUCACCGUUUGCUCCAGGAGCUCCGCCUCGACGAUGGCCGUUUCCAGCGGUAUUUCCGUUUGUCGACGGCGCAGUUUGAGGACCUCCUCGCCCGGGUGGGAAGCAGCAUCUCCCGCCAGGACACCAACUACAGGCGCUCCAUUCCAGCUUCGGAGCGCCUGUCUAUCUGUCUGCGGUGAGUAUAAUCAAGUAUAAUUAAUUUAAAAUGAGCAGAUACACUGGGCAAAUAAGGCAAAACUGCAACGUUUAUCAGCUUUCUGUACACUGAGUUCCUCCUGUGAGCUGCUCUUUGCCUCUGUCCUUUAAUAUCCAGUCAAAAUAAAACUUCUCUUGCACACACUAAUGUGAUUUAGAAAUUCUGUGAAUCUGAUCAAUUUACUAAAGACAGAUAAUAUAACUCCUGUGAAAAUAAUCCUAUCUGAUCAGACUGAUAAGGUGCUGCUGAAGAAGUAAACAGGAUUGGUCUGUGUCCUUUAUUUGAUCCACUCAGUAAAGUAAGAAGUUACACUGAAAAAAAUUAACCCUUAACACAUUCAAUACAUACUGUAAAAAAAUUACCUGGAAAUCAAUUACUUUAAAAUGACCAGAUACACUGGGUGCUAGCAUAAAUGUUUGUGUCAAAGAGGAUUUAUGGACACUCAAAUCUUCGGUUACGUUUCUAUUUCAUAUGGCCUCAUAUUUUAAAUAAAAUUUGUAAUGAAAUUAAUUUUUAUGUGCUUUAGGUUCCUGGCUACUGGAGACUCCUUCAGGACCAUCGCAUACAGCUUCCGGGUUGGAGUUUCCACCGUGUCGGGCAUCGUGGCAGACACCGUGUUGUGCUUGGUGGAGGACUUCAUGGCUGUGCCCACCUGUGAUGAGUGGAGAUCCAUAGCACAGGGUUUUGAGGAGCGGUGGAACUUCCCCUUGUGUUGUGGUGCAGUGGAUGGGAAGCACGUGGUUCUGAAGGCUCCUGCCAAUUCAGGAUCACAGUUCUAUAACUACAAGGGAACAUUUUCUAUUGUUCUCUUGGCAGUUGUAGAUGCCAAUUAUUGCUUCCGAGUGAUCGAUGUCAGAGGCUUCGGGAGGACCAGUGACGGGGGGAUUCUGGCCAACUCUGCGUUUGGUCAGGCCCUACGUUCUGGCUCCCUCCAGCUGCCUCCAGAUCGGUCACUGCCUGAAGCUGAACACAGGGGACCCCAACCUCAUGUGUUUGUUGCAGAUGAGGCCUUCCCGCUCCGGAGAAACCUCAUGAGGCCGUAUCCAGGGCGCAUCCUCCCCAGAGAGAAGCGCAUUUUCAACUACCGGCUGUCCAGGGCGCGGCUGGUGGUUGAAGAUGCCUUCGGCAUUCUUUCCACUCAGUGGAGGAUGUACCGACGUGCCCUUGAGGUUUCUCCAGAUGUUGCAGAGAAGUGUGUGAAGGCCACCUGUGUCCUUCAUAACUUCCUGCGAAGGUCUCAGCCUGAAGCUGCCAUGGGGUUGGGUGCCAUCACAGGUGGUGAGGAGCCUCAGGCAGGGCUGGGACGUGUCGCUUCAAACAACCCGUCCCGGGAGGCCAUCGCAGUCAGGCAGUCCUUCACCGAGCACUUCUCAGCUGAAGGAGCGGUCUCAUGGCAGGAUUCCGUCUAGUGCACUGCAC